rnacentral:rRNA from 1 species
UACGUAGGGUGCAAGCGUUAAUCGGAAUUACUGGGCGUAAAGCGUGCGCAGGCGGUUUUGUAAGACAGUGGUGAAAUCCCCGGGCUCAACCUGGGAACUGCCAUUGUGACUGCAAGGCUAGAGUACGGCAGAGGGGGAUGGAAUUCCGCGUGUAGCAGUGAAAUGCGUAGAUAUGCGGAGGAACGCCGAUGGCGAAGGCAAUCCCCUGGGCCUGUACUGACGCUCAUGCACGAAAGCGUGGGGAGCAAACAGG